rnacentral:rRNA from 1 species
UGAACGCUGGCGGUAUGCCUAACACAUGCAAGUCAUACGAGGGUUUUUUAACUCUAGUGGCGAAGGGGUGAGGAACACGUGAGAAAUCUGCCUUCAACACUGGGAUAACUCCGGGAAACCGGGGCUAAUACCGGAUAUGAAACCUGCGGGCAUCCGCGGGUUUGGAAAGUUUUUCGGUUGAAGAUGAUCUCGCGGCCUAUCAGCUUGUUGGUGAGGUAAUGGCUCACCAAGGCGACGACGGGUAGCCGGCCUGAGAGGGCGACCGGCCACACUGGGACUGAGACACGGCCCAGACUCCUACGGGAGGCAGCAGUGGGGAAUAUUGGGCAAUGGAGGAAACUCCGACCCAGCGACGCCGCGUGCGGGAUGAAGGCCUUCGGUUGUAAACCGCUUUCAGCAGGAAGAAGCGAAAGUGACGGUACCUGCAGAAGAAGCACCGGCUAACUAUGUGCCAGCAG